ACCCAGUUGGCUCAGUUGGUAGAGCAUGUGACUCUUGAUCCUGGGGUCAUGAGUUUGAGCCCCACAUUGGGCA
rnacentral:tRNA from 1 species